AUUGAACGCUGGCGGCAGGCCUAACACAUGCAAGUCGAGCGGAGCGGGCGACGGGCGGGUAAGGCAUAGGAGUCAGCCUGGUAGUGGGGGAUAGCGUCCGGCAACGGGCGCUAAUACCGAAUACUAUCCAUUUAGCCUAGGUCGGAUUAGCUAGUUGGUGGGGUAAGGGCCUACCAAGGCGACGAUCCGUACCUGGUCUGAGAGGAUGAUCAGUCACACUGGAACUGAGACACGGUCCAGACUCCUACGGGAGGCAGCAGUGGGGAAUAUUGGACAAUGGGCGAAAGCCUGAUGCAGCCAUGCCGCGUGUGUGAAGAAGGUCUUCGGAUUGUAAAGCACUUUAAGUUGGGAGGCGUUACCCGCAGAAGAAGCACCGGCUAACUCCGUGCCAGCAGCCGCGGUAAUUC
rnacentral:rRNA from 1 species